rnacentral:rRNA from 1 species
CUUCGGGUCGUAAAGUUCUGUUGUUAGGGAAGAACAAGUACCAGAGUAACUGCUGGUACCUUGACGGUACCUAACCAGAAAGCCACGGCUAACUACGUGCCAGCAGCCGCGGUAAUACGUAGGUGGCAAGCGUUGUCCGGAAUUAUUGGGCGUAAAGCGCGCGCAGGUGGUUCCUUAAGUCUGAUGUGAAAGCCCACGGCUCAACCGUGGAGGGUCAUUGGAAACUGGGGAACUUGAGUGCAGAAGAGGAAAGUGGAAUUCC